GACGAACGCUGGCGGCGUGCUUAACACAUGCAAGUCGAACGGAAAGGCCCGGCUUUUGUUGGGUGCUCGAGUGGCGAACGGGUGAGUAACACGUGAGUAACCUGCCCUUGACUUUGGGAUAACUUCAGGAAACUGGGGCUAAUACCGGAUAGGAGCUCCUGCUGCAUGGUGGGGGUUGGAAAGUUUCGGCGGUUGGGGAUGGACUCGAGGCUUAUCAGCUUGUUGGUGGGGUAGUUGCAUACCAAGGCUUUGACUGGUAGCCGGCCUGAGCGGGUGACCGGCCACAUUGGGACUGAGAUACGGCCCAGACUCCUACGGGAGGCAGCAGUGGGGAAUAUUGCACAAUGGGCGGAAGCCUGAUGCAGCAACGCCGCGUGCGGGAUGACGGCCUUCGGGUUGUAAACCGCUUUCGCCUGUGACGAAGCGUGAGUGACGGUAAUGGGUAAAGAAGCACCGGCUAACUACGUG
rnacentral:rRNA from 1 species